AUUGAACGCUGGCGGAAUGCUUUACACAUGCAAGUCGAACGGCAGCACGGACUUCGGUCUGGUGGCGAGUGGCGAACGGGUGAGUAGUGUAUCGGAACGUGCCCAGUCGUGGGGGAUAACGUAGUGAAAAUUACGCUAAUACCGCAUACGAUCUAUGGAUGAAAGCGGGGGAUCGCAAGACCUCGCGCGAUUGGAGCGGCCGAUAUCAGAUUAGGUAGUUGGUGGGGUAAAGGCCCACCAAGCCAACGAUCUGUAGCUGGUCUGAGAGGACGACCAGCAAAACUGGAACUGAGAGACGGUCCAGACUCCUACUGGAGGCAGCAGUGGGGAAUUUUGGACAAUGGGCGAAAGCCUGAUCCAGCCAUUCCGCGUGCAGGAUGAAGGCCCUCGGGUUGUAAACUGCUUUUGUACAGAACGAAAAGGUUUCUACUAAUACUAGGAGCUCAUGACGGUACUGUAAGAAUAAGCACCGGCUAACUACGUGCCAGCCGCCGCAGUAA
rnacentral:rRNA from 1 species